AUCCAGGUAACGAGUCCUAAAUAGGACGAAACGCGCGUCCUGGAC
rnacentral:hammerhead_ribozyme from 1 species